rnacentral:rRNA from 1 species
AUUGAACGCUGGCGGCAUGCCUUACACAUGCAAGUCGAACGGCAGCACGGGAGCAAUCCUGGUGGCGAGUGGCGAACGGGUGAGUAAUAUAUCGGAACGUGCCCGGUCGUGGGGGAUAACGUAGCGAAAGCUACGCUAAUACCGCAUACGAUCUACGGAUGAAAGCGGGGGAGUCGCAAGACCUCGCGCGAUUGGAGCGGCCGAUAUCAGAUUAGGUAGUUGGUGAGGUAAAGGCUCACCAAGCCGACGAUCUGUAGCUGGUCUGAGAGGACGACCAGCCACACUGGGACUGAGACACGGCCAGACUCCUACGGGAGGCAGCAGU